UGAGAUUUGAAAUUUAAAAUUUAAAAUUUUGAAUUUAAAAUUUGAGAUUUAAAAUUUAAAAUUUUAAUUUCAAAAUUUGAAAUUUAAAAAUUUAUAUUUUAAAUUUUAAAAUAUAAAUAUGAAAUAUAAAAAUUCAAAUUCUAGUAUAAAAAAAGGAUAAUAUCAUUAUUUUUUAUUUAUAACUAUCCACUUUAAUUCUUAUUCUAUAUAUCUUACCUAACCAAAUGCUAUUUUUUUUAUUUCCAGGAAUAAUCCAAUUUCAUCCAAACGCAAAAUUGAUCUAAUCCCCGCUUAUACCUCAAUUUAUACCUAUUCCUGGAAUAGCUGUUUUUUUGCUUAUUUCCGAACCAAACGAUACCUUAUAGUACUCCACUUCAGUUAUAACUAAAUUGCCCUCUCCAUUUUCAUCGGUGGGCAUCAGACGGUAGACAGUGGUCAAACUAUAUAAAUA
rnacentral:lncRNA from 1 species